GUGCCAGCAGCCGCGGUAAUACGGAAGGUCCGGGCGUUAUCCGGAUUUAUUGGGUUUAAAGGGAGCGUAGGCCGUCGUUUAAGCGUGUUGUGAAAUGCCGCGGCUCAACCGUGGCACUGCAGCGCGAACUGGAUGACUUGAGUGCGCGGGAGGUAGGCGGAAUUCGUGGUGUAGCGGUGAAAUGCUUAGAUAUCACGAAGAACCCCGAUUGCGAAGGCAGCUUACCGUAGCGUUACUGACGCUGAAGCUCGAAAGUGCGGGUAUCGAACAGGAUUAGAUACCCUGGUAGCCCGCACGGUAAACGAUGGAUGCCCGCUGUUCCGGCUUUUAGUUGGAGUGGCCAAGCGAAAGCGUUAAGCAUCCCACCUGGGGAGUACGCCGGCAACGGUGAAACUCAAAUGAAUUGACGG
rnacentral:rRNA from 1 species